UACGGGGGGGGCAAGCGUUGUUCGGAAUUACUGGGCGUAAAGGGCUCGUAGGCGGCCAACUAAGUCCGACGUGAAAUCCCCAGGCUUAACCUGGGAACUGCGUCGGAUACUGGAUGGCUUGAAUUCGGGAGAGGGAUGCAGAAUUCCAGGUGUAGCGGUGAAAUGCGUAGAUAUCUGGAGGAAUACCGGUGGCGAAGGCGGCAUCCUGGACCGGCAUUGACGCUGAGACGCGAAAGCGUGGGGAGCAAACAGG
rnacentral:rRNA from 1 species